GAACAUGGUUGUGGAAUGGAACAUCCCAGAACUGCCUAAGCUGGGAAAAAGGAAGAGGAAAGGCGCUGCCUGCCACAAAACGGUACCUGGCCCUACUCUGAGAAUUUAGUCUCAGAAUAUUUUUGCAUGCUUGUCAUCCAGGGACUGGAACUUCUCUCUUAGGAGGGCAGGCUGAGAGAAUUGGGCCUAGAGAAGAGAUGACUGAGAAGGAACCCCAUCCCUGUCUGUCAGUGUCCAAGGGGCAGUGUCUGUCAGAGCACAGACCCAGCUCUGCUCUGUAGGGCUCAGCAAUGGAACAAGAGGAAGGAACUGAUGCCCAGGAAGUUCUACCUGAACACGAGGGAGAACUUUCCUGUGCAGUGACCAAGCACUGGACAGGCUGCCCACAGAGGAUGUGGGGUCUCCCUCACUGGGGCAUUCCACAACGAUCCUGAACACAAUCCUGGGCUGUGUGCUCUGGGAUGGCACUGCUGGAGCAGGGAGGUGGGGACACUGUGUUCCCUUCCAACCCGGCCCAUUCUGUGAUUCCCUAUUCACUACAGUGAGCUGGGCUCUUAAUAAAUACUAGAUGUCAUUGCUCUUCCCCCAUCCCUUUUAUCAGUAUUGAUUCACUAUUUCAUUUCCUGUAUCAGGAUAUUUUAUAUAUUUUUGCUCUUCAGGUUACUAGGAUCUCCAUGCUUCUAAAAAUCCAGAUAAAAGCCACCCAAAAUCCUUUUACCCCCCAAAAUCCUCAUUAUGUGUCAAAAGCAGGCAUCAGAAAUCAACCACAGCAGUGGUGCACUGGCAUUCUGGUUUGAAGAGCCUUGUGGCAGAUUUUUGUCAAGGGCUUCCCUAACAUAAAAGAAGAACCCAAAAUGACUGCAAGCCCUUCAUUGUAUCUUCAGCCUCACGUUUGCACAGCUUUUGACAUACUAAGAGAUAGGCCAAGGGGCACCACAAAUGGUUUCAGCUGCAGAAAGGCUGUUGCUACCAAAACAAUGAUUCAUUCUGGCUUUCAGCCUGUCCUUUAGUACAUCUUGGGAAAAUGCUCAUAGGAAGCAGGCUCAGUCUGGAGAAACUGUCCAGAGACGCCUGAUCCAAUUAUCUGAAACACCUCUAUUACCUUCACAGGAAACCCUGACAGAUAUUUUUUUUCCAAGAUGAGACACUUAAUCUUGUUGCACAGAAAAAAGGUUGUUCCUCUACAUUUUAGUUCAUGCUAGAGCUUGCAGAGAAAACAUGAGGAUUAGGUAACUGUGUGUGACAGAAUUAGUUUCAUCAUUUCAUUUAGUUGCACCUUUUUUUUUUCCUUAAAAUCUUGAAUUUUUUUAUCAUCACAAUGGCAGGACAAAGAACCAUUUCAAACUUGAGGCAUGCAUGAAGUAAUAUUGAUUUAUUUGUCUAAGUUUGCAAAGCACUUAAAAAUAGUCUCAAGGUUUUCCUUUAGUGUCAAUGCAUUGCUUGGAUUUGGGUGAGGAUGGUUUAAUUUAAUGUUAGAUCAAAGCAAAGAGAAAAGAGGAAAAAGGAAGAAAUGUCAUGUGUUCUCCAGAACAUGUGGUGGGAGUGGGCCAUGGAGAAGAAAGGGGAUGGAGAAUGUAACAAAGCAAGUUUCUAAUCACAUCCCAGUUUAGGAGGGUAUGAGAUUCCCAUUGUUUCCCCCCAAAGGCUGGAAAACCCUGUGCUGCAGUGAUGAAAAGCUGCUUUGCUUAUCCCUGUCUCUGCUGUCUUGGGCUCCAGAGAACUUCUGUCUCUCCCUAGGUACUGUCAUACCCUGGUAUGCGUGCUCUUACAGGUCACAGCAAGCACAACAGCUGUUCUGGAAGAGUUUAAGUGAUUGCUAUGAAGCCACUUCUGCUUCAUGGCAAUCAUUUGAACCGUCUCUUCUUGACAACACAACAGUUUUAUAACUUCUGAGCUCCUCUUAUUAUACUCAGGAUUGCCAGGAGAAUGGUGAGCCUUCACAGGAUCACACAAGGCACAACUGUAUCAAAAAAGAAAAUGAAUGUGGAAGUAAUGCUACAGCAUUUAAAUCCUUAAACAGAGCUACUUGGUAAGGGAAAUUUGCAACUGCAGAAUGGCUUUUUAAAAGGAAUGAGAAAAGGCAACAUUUCUAAAGGCAGGAACAUAACUCCAGUUGUCACCUAUUAAAAGUCUUUACCCCUGAGCUGGAAGGUGUAAAUAAUACAGUAGAAAUGACCAAAUCACUGCAGGAAGACACAAUAGCAGGUUACUGAGAUCCACCACAAGCAAAGCAUAUGCUUGAUGGCAAAUCUUUUCUCCAUUUCCUACACUAGAUAUUCAUUGGGGUCUGACUUCUAAUUGAAUGCAAAUAAAGAAUAACAGGUUUUUGCAUAUGAAGUGAAGCUAUAGAACAUCUGCCUCUUCACAGCCUUUCAAUGUACCUUAUGUGAUAUUAAGCAAAGAAGAGGUUUGCCUCAUCAGCUUGUAAGAAAUGGUGAAUUUAAAGAACACUGUGACAGAAGUAAAUCAUUCCACUGCUGCUGUAAAAGGUGUCUCUUUGAUCUCCCCACAUAUUCCUAGGUGAUAAAAUGCCAAGUUGGGCAAAAUCAGUUUCGAUGCCAAAAAGAUGGACUACUGGUGCAGAAGGUCACAAAACACUAUUAAUUGCCUUAUAUCAUCUCAGUCUUGAAAGAUGAUUCAAAAAUAUAGGCUGGUGCUUUGGAACAGAGCACACAUUGCUAGCUAGCAUUAUCCAAGCAAGCUGUUACAGGUACUUUAGGCAUGCUCUUACCUGCAAAUGAAAUAACCUGUCUCCUGCUCUUUUAGCCUCUUUUACAGUAGUCAUUGAUGUUGGUUUUUACUUCCUCAGCAACCUAAUUCACUAAUUGUGUUUACUGGUAUAGUCAUUUUGUGACCUUUUCAGAAAAAAGCUACAGCAAUCUGAAUGUAAAAGUCAGUGUCCUGAAAUUAGCUUACAUGUUUGUAGGUUAUAGCAUGGAUGAACAAUGAUGUGGAAAAAAAAAAACCUGGUUAAAAAAUAGCUACACAAAAUACCAGAGAGGAGCUAGAAAGAUUCCCAGAGAGGAGCUAAAAAAAAAAAUCCCCAUCUCUUACAGCACUCUUGCAGAGUGUGUCUAAAACAGUGCAUCUGAGCUUUUGUCAAGACUCUAAUUAAAGGACAUACAAUAAGUAGACAAACAUCAAAAUCAGAUCUAAAAUGCCUAUUUUACAAUCAGUUAAGGAACAAAACACUUGAGUAUCAAGGAUGGAUGACAUUUGAAGGUGUCUGGAAUAACAUCAGCAAUACAUUUCCAUGCUUGGUACUAUUCAGUGGUGUGAGAUGUGCAUGGCACUUCUGGAGUCUGAGGACAGUAAUUGAGUAGUUCUGGCCCCCACACACAUUAUUUUGGAGACAUGCUGUAAGCCCAAAGAAGCUGAUUUCAGUCCCACCAGAGCCAAGGGUCCUUGGCUGACUUCACUUCCAACCUUACACCCACUCCAGAGGUGCUGAAUGAAAGCCCCAGUUUUCCAAAGGAACACAAUCAUUCUCUCCAGCAUUCCUGGGUUGGAGUUCUGAUAACGUGGCAGGCAGGAGGGGAAGCUGCAGGCAGCUGGGCAGUAGAGUGAAAGAUGCCAGCUUGUACAGAUUACAUUACCUGAUUUUCUUUUAUCAUGGUAAGUUGGAGGCAAAAAGAUGACAAGGUGAAUUUGAAUUACUCUUUACAAUGAUGGACCAGAUUUGAAGCUUCCAGAAGUCACUGCAAAUGCUCAAAUAUAAAAUGGGAUUUUCAGACUCACAGUUUAGCAGAUUUCAGUACUGUCUUCUGGGUCAUCCCUCAGUGUCACAUGCAAGCACAAAGGUGUCACCCUUUGGGAUGGAUCACAUGAUGCCUGUGUGGCUGCAGCAGGGUUCUCUGAAGAACUAAGCUAAAUGAAGAGUAGGGCAUUGUUUAUGUAGCAUUUAUAUUGUCCUCUAACAUGAGCUAGACUUUGGAAACAAAAUGAACUGGAAACUUUGCAAUUACAAAGGGAUCUUUUGCUGGCUUUCUGCAGCCCUAAACUUGGGAGCCACUGCUUUAAAAAUGUCACAAAUGACUGUGUCAGGAGUAAAAUUAUGUGCAUUGCAAAACCAGUAAAGGGCAUACUUUGUAAAGAACAGCUAAUGCUGAAUGGCUUUAUGGACAACAGUGUGUGCAUACCACAGUGACGAGAGGCAAGCACCACUGGAGGAGAGGGCACUGCCCAGGCAGGUGACAGAAUGCUAGAAAGGGAAAGAACUGGGCAGCUCUUUCUCUACAAUAAGUUCCAGGAAAUUCUUUACUCUUCCCUAAGCAGACAAGCAUUAAGUUUUCAAAGUCUGUUGGAAAGACUCACAGCAGGAUGUGCCAAUUCAAUCAAUAGCAUGGAAGAAUAAAAGGCCAAGACUUUGCUGCAGUUAGAAUAAACAACUGUCCUAAAUUUCUGACAAACAGGAGCUGUGUCUCUUUGGUAGCAUUUGAGAUGUAUAUAAAAUGUUGUUAGGCUACACAUUCACAGCCAGCAUCAUUGCUCUUUUUUUUCAGCUGAUACUCCCAUCAUGCCUCAGAGGUGACGAAAGGAAAUACUGAGUCCAAACCUGAGAACAGGGUCUCAUGAAAACAAGAAAUUAUGCAAUCUACUGAAGAGAUUUUCUUCAGAAAGAUCACAGGUCUCAUGCUUUAGUCAUGGCCUGUUCCUUUGCCAGCAGGUUCACUGCAAGCUAAAGGAUUUCUUUCACGUAAGCUGCUCACAACGACUACAGAAACCUCCAGGAUUACAGUGCACAAACAAUGGGAGAAAAGCUGCUUCAAAUAAUACACCCAGACAAUGGAGUUGCCAUUAUGGUAGCAAUGCAAAAUAUAGACAGGGAUUUAAAUGAAACUGGUGCUAUCUGUAUACUUUGGAGGGCUCACGUGUGCCAAAUUUGGCAGCAUGAGUGUUCAUACUGCUUGUUGCUCCACCCCUUGAACAAUGAGGCUAAACCCCAUAUGUGCAGGAGUUGGUAGAGCACAAGCAGUUUUGCUAAUCAUGCUGCAUGCAAAAGCAAAAAGACAAAGGAAACUAGUAAUGCUUAGACUAGCAUUGGGGAAAUAAUUAAGCAUGAAUGAAAUAUUGUAUGUGGAUUUGAAAUGAAUGUUCUCGGAAACAAUUGUGCUGUUUCAGUUGUGCUGCUUUCCCCCCUAAGUUUCAAAAAGUAAUUUGCAUGUCAUUUAAAUAAAUACCGUAAAUUAUUGCAAA